AAUAGUUCACUUGUUCUACUUGGUUUGCAGUUUACUCUAUACAAUUGCUUAUGAUCUGGUAUGAGCAGUUCACAUUUGUAUCCAAUUUGUUUGACUUGUAUGAUUGCAUGGCUCAGUAGUUUGUUUGAAAUAUCCAUUUAAAUUUGUUGAAAC